rnacentral:rRNA from 1 species
GGGGGCGAUUACCACGGCAGGGUUCGUGACUGGGGUGAAGUCGUAACAAGGUAGCCGUAUCGGAAGGUGCGGCUGGAUCACCUCCUUUCUA